CAAUAGCGUAUAUUAAAGUUGUUGCAGUUAAAAAGCUCGUAGUUGGAUUUGUGGUGUGUGCCUUGGCGUUGGGAUUAGUUUCCUUUUCUGCCUCGGCCGUGCCAUCCUUGGGUGGAAUCUGUGUGGCAUUAGGUUGUCGUGCAGGGGAUGCCCAUCGUUUACUGUGAAAAAAUUAGAGUGUUCAAAGCAGGCUUAUGCCGUUGAAUAUAUUAGCAUGGAAUAAUAAGAUAGGUCUUUGGUCCUAUUUUGUUGGUUUGCGGGCCGGAGAAAUGAUUAACAGGGACAGUUGGGGGUAUUCGUAUUCCAUUGUCAGAGGUGAAAUUCUUGGAUUUCUGGAAGACGAACUACUGCGAAAGCAUUUACCAAGGAUGUUUUCAUUAA
rnacentral:rRNA from 1 species